rnacentral:rRNA from 1 species
UUCGCAAUGCCCGAAAGGGUGAACGAGCCACUCCGCGUGCAGGAUGAAGGGUUUCGGCUUGUAAACUGCUUUUCUUUGGGAAGAAGGUCCGUGUCGUGAACUCGGGCUCGACGGUACCAGAGGAAUAAGCCCCGGCUAACUCCGUGCCAGCAGCCGCGGUAAGACGGAGGGGGCAAGCGUUGUUCGGAAUUAUUGGGCGUAAAGGGCGCGUAGGCGGACCGGCGGGUCCGGCGUGAAAUCUCCACCGCUCAACGGGGAGAGGCCGCUGGAAACUACCGGUCUGGAGUUUGGCAGAGGGUCAUGGAAUUCCAGGUGUAGCGGUGGAAUGCGUAGAUAUCUGGAAGAACACCUGUGGCGAAGGCUGUGGCCUGGGCCAAAACUGACGCUGAGGCGCGAAAGCCAGGGGAGCAAACGGGAUUAGAUACCCCGGUAGUCCUAGCCGUAAACGAUGGGCACUAAGUAGAGGGGUUUU